AGUGAACGCUGGCGGCGUGCCUAAUACAUGCAAGUCGAACGAGUGGCGCACGGGUGAGUAAUAUAUAGCUAAACUGCCCUUUGCUGGGGGACAACCGUUUGAAAUGACUGCUAAUACCCCAUAGCAAUGGAUGAGACUAUAUCGUAUCAGCUAGUCGGUGGGGUAACGGCCUACCGAGGGUAUGACACGUAACUGGUGUAAGAGGAUGAUCAGGCACAUUGGAAGUGAGACACGAGCCAGGAACCUUGGGGAAGGAGCAGUAGGGAGAAUUGGGCAAGCGGCGAAAGCGUGAGACAGCAACGCCGCGUAAAGGAUGACCAUUUUCGAAGAGGAAACUCCUUUUAUAGGGAAGACGGUACCUAACGAAUAAGCACCGGCUAACUCCGUGCCAGCAGCCGCGGUAAUAC
rnacentral:rRNA from 1 species